rnacentral:rRNA from 1 species
UACGGAGGGUGCAAGCGUUAUCCGGAAUCACUGGGUUUAAAGGGUGCGUAGGCGGAUAUAUAAGUCAGAGGUGAAAGCUCUGAGCUCAACUGAGGAAUUGCCUUUGAUACUGUAUAUCUUGAAUUGUGUUGAGGUUAGCGGAAUGAGUCAUGUAGCGGUGAAAUGCAUAGAUAUGACUUAGAACACCAAUUGCGAAGGCAGCUAGCUAGGCAUAAAUUGACGCUGAGGCACGAAAGCGUGGGGAGCGAACAGG